UACGAAGGGGGCUAGCGUUGCUCGGAAUCACUGGGCGUAAAGCGCACGUAGGCGGACUCUUAAGUCGGGGGUGAAAUCCUGGAGCUCAACUCCAGAACUGCCUUCGAUACUGGGAGCCUUCGAGUUCGGGAGAGGUGAGUGGAACUGCGAGUGUAGAGGUGAAAUUCGUAGAUAUCAAGAGGAACACCUGAGGUGAAGACGGGUUGCUGGGCUGACACUGACGCUGAGGCGCGAAAGCUAGGGUAGCAAACGGG
rnacentral:rRNA from 1 species